GCACUGCCGAGGAGUCCCAUGACAAGACGAAACGGCCGUCCAGUGC
rnacentral:hammerhead_ribozyme from 1 species